rnacentral:rRNA from 1 species
UACGUAGGGUGCGAGCGUUAAUCGGAAUUACUGGGCGUAAAGCGUGCGCAGGCGGUUGUGCAAGACCGAUGUGAAAUCCCCGGGCUCAACCUGGGAAUGGCAUUGGUGACUGCACGGCUAGAGUGUGUUAGAGGGGGGUAGAAUUCCACGUGUAGCAGUGAAAUGCGUAGAUAUCGGGAGGAAUACCGAUGGCGAAGGCAGGUCUCUGGGCUGACACUGACGCUCAUGCACGAAAGCGUGGGGAGCAAACAGG